GACCCCAUCGUCUAGAGGCCUAGGACACCGGGUUUUCAUCCCGGCAACAGGGGUUCGAAUCCCCUUGGGGUCGCCA
rnacentral:tRNA from 1 species